ACCCACGCCUCUCCAGACGCCGCAUCCCUCACCCACUCCGUCGACCGCCGUCGUCGCCCCUCUGCUCGGCGCCCUCCAUCGCCCCUCUACCCUCGCCGCCUUAGCCCGCCCCUCACCGCCCGGCGCCCUCCUCAGCCCGCCCCGUGACCACGACCGUCCCCCGUUAGCCACGCAUCCACGCCCCUCACCGCGUCGUCGCCGCGCCUCCCCCUGGGACGUCGCCGUCCAUCUCCCCUACCCGUGUCCCUCUCCCUCACCG
rnacentral:lncRNA from 1 species